rnacentral:rRNA from 1 species
GAGGGGGUACCGCCAAAGUUUGAUCCUGGCUCCGGGGGUCGGAGAUUGGGGUGGCGGCGAGUGGUGAACGGGUGAGUAAUAUAUCGGAACGUACCCUAGAGUGGGGGAUAACGUAGCGAAAGUUACGCUAAUACCGCAUACGAUCUAAGGAUGAAAGUGGGGGAUCGCAAGACCUCAUGCUCGUGGAGCGGCCGAUAUCUGAUUAGCUAGUUGGUAGGGUAAAAGCCUACCAAGGCAUCGAUCAGUAGCUGGUCUGAGAGGACGACCAGCCACACUGGAACUGAGACACGGUCCAGACUCCUACGGGAGGCAGCAGUGGGGAAUUUUGGACAAUGGGCGAAAGCCUGAUCCCCAGAGGCUAAUGCACUGCGUGAAGUGGAAGAAGGCCUUCGGGUUGUAAAGGCUCUUUUGUUCAAGGAAAGAAAACCGGUGAAAAGUCUUAAAUAUUCUUUUUGCUAGAUGACCGGUACCUUGAAAGAAAUAAGCACCGGCUAAACUACGUGCCCAGCAGCCGCGGUAAUACGUAGGGUGCAAGCGUUAAUCGGAAAUUACUGGGCGUAAAGCGUGCGCAGGCGGUUUUGUAAGUCUGAUGUGAAAUCCCCGGGCUCAACCUGGGAAUUGCAUUGGGAGACUGCAAGGCUAGAAUCUGGGCAGAGGGGGGUAGAAUUUCCACGUGUAGCAAUGGAAAGGCGUAAAUAUGGUGGAAGGAACCACCGAUGGGCGAAGGCAGCCCCCUGGGUUCAAGAAUGGACGCCUCAUGCACGAAAGCCUGUGGGGAAGCAAACAGGAUUAAGAUACCCCUGGUAGUCCACGCCCCUAAACGAAUGUCUACUAGUUGUCGGGUCUCAAUGGACUUGGUAACGCAGCUAACGCGUGAAGUAGACCGCCUGGGGGAGUACGGUCGCAAGAUUAAAACUCAAAGGAAUUGACGGGGACCCGCACAAGCGGUGGAUGAUGUGGAUUAAUUCGAUGCCAACGCGAAAAACCUUACCUACCAUUGACAUGCCUGGAAUCCUUGAGAGAUCAGGGAGUGCUCGAAAGAAAACCAGUACACAGGUGCUGCAUGGCUGUCAUCAGCUCGUGUCCAGUGCAGAUGUUGCGGUUAAGUCCAGCAACGAGCGCAACCCUUGUCAUUAGUUGCUACGAAAGGGCACUCUAAUGAGACUGCCGGUGACAAACCGGAGGAAGGUGGGGAUGACGUCAAGUCCUCAUGGCCCUUAUGGGUAGGGCUUCACACGUCAUACAAUGGUACAUACAGAGCGCCGCCAACCCGCGAGGGGGAGCUAAUCGCAGAAAGUGUAUCGUAGUCCGGAUUGUAGUCUGCAACUCGACUGCAUGAAGUUGGAAUCGCUAGUAAUCGCGGAUCAGCAUGUCGCGGUGAAUACGUUCCCGGGUCUUGUACACACCGCCCAACACACCAUGGGAGCGGUUUUUCCUUUACCCCGUACCCAACCACGUCGAACCAGGGCACCUCUGU